rnacentral:rRNA from 1 species
GCUCGCAGGCGGUGCGAUGCGUCGGCAGUGCCAGCUCUGUGCUUCACACAGGGAGUGCUGCCGAAACGGUCACACUUGAGGGCCAGAGAGGGACAUGGAACUCCGGGUGGAGUGGUGAAAUGCGUAGAGAUCCGGAAGAACACCAAAGGCGAAGGCAGUGUCCUGGCUGGCGUCUGACGCUGAGGAGCGAGAGCGAGGGGAGCGAACAGGAUUAGAUACCCUGGUAGUCCUCGCCGUAAACGAUGACCACGAGGCGUGGGAGGUAUCGACCCCUUCCGUGCCGCCGUUAACACACUGAGUGGUCCGCCUGGGGAGUACGGUCGCAAGAUUAAAACUCAAAGGAAUUGACGGGGACCCGCACAAGCAGCGGAGCGUGUGGUUUAAUUCGAAGCAACGCGAAGCACCUUACCAGGGCUUGACAUGCCGCUGACCGCCGUGGAAACACGGUUCUCUUCGGAGCAGUGGCACAGGUGCUGCAUGGCUGUCGUCAGCUCGUGUCGUGAGAUGUUGGGUUAAGUCCCGCAACGAGCGCAACCCUCGUCGUCGGUU